CGCGGGGUGGUGGAGUGGUACCACACCGGGCUCAUAACCCGGGGAUCGUGCGUUCGAAUCGCACCCCCGCAA
rfam:Chloroflexi bacterium GWC2_70_10 gwc2_scaffold_20770, whole genome shotgun sequence.